ACGGAAGCUUCAACUAAGUACAUGAAACCAAAUGGAAGGGCAAAGAGUAAAACCAACAAAAUGGUGUAAACAUGAGCAUCUCAUUUGUAACUUUCAACCAAUCUUUUCAAGAAAGCAAAAUCACCUGAUGCUUCUUCCAUUCAAGGAAAAGAAAUGAAAAUAAAAAUGAAAUGCACCGUGAAUCACGACUGCUGUAGUUGUUUCCUUUUCAAAAAUUAAAAGUGUGCCAAUUUGUAUUCAUCCACCAUCCCACAAUUCCAGUAAAAGCUCCAUCUAAAAAAAAGUUUAAAGACCAAGGCCUCCGCUCAAAAUUUGAAUAUGCCGAGAGAAAGCUCU
rnacentral:lncRNA from 1 species